rnacentral:rRNA from 1 species
AUGGCAAAAAAGUGGGUAGUCAACGCUAAGGCGCCUAGGCAGCAUGCUACAAACUGCACUACGAUGAUUUCUGUACUUGACAAACUUGAGGAGGCUCGCCCUCUUUCCUCCCUAGAACUUAAACUGCGCAUUGCAGUAAAAGUCGCCUUACAUCAUCUUGACAAACUUCUAGCUGCGUACUGGCGCCAGCGAGCAAAAAUUAGAGAGUGCACUCUCGGAGACGAAAAUUCAGCUUACAUGCAUGUGUGUGCUUCUGUCCGUUUUCGCAAAAAUAAAAUUCCCAGUCUGCAUGUCAAUGGGACGGACGUGACCUCCCAUAAUGGAAAAGCUGUCGUGCUGCACGACUACUUCAGCUGUCUACUAGGAACUCAAGCUCCAUCUGUAAUUAAUUUUGAUCUCGAUAACCUCUUGCUUGGCUCUAAACUAACCACUUCUCAAGCUCUGUCGCUCACUAGGCCUUUCUCUCUGGACGAAAUUAGAUUAGCUAUUCUGAGCAUGAACGUAAAUGCGAGCCCAGGGCCGGACGGCUUCGGACCAGCCUUUUUUAAAGUUAAUUGGGAUCUUAUCAAGCUUGACUUGCUCAACCUCAUGAAUGAUUUUCAUAAGGGCUGCGCGGAGUUAGCCAGGAUCAACAAAGCCUUCAUUGUGCUUCUUCCAAAAAAAGUUGGAGCUACGACCCCCGACAACUUCAGGCCGGUUUCCCUGCAAAAUUGUGUCAUCAAGAUCAGCUCAAAGUGUCUGGCCACUAGAGCUCAACCUUUUAUCUCCUCAAUCAUUCACCAGGACCAAUCCGGUUUUAUUAAAGGGAGAGGUAUCGCUGAUAAUUUUUUAUAUGCUGCUGAUAUUGUUCAAACUUGCUUCAAACGAAAAAAAUCGGCUAUCGUUCUAAAACUAGACUUCCGCAAGGCUUUUGACUCCGUGUCUUGGGCGGCCUUGUCUGCCAUUAUGAGAGCAAAGGGCUUCCCGCCGGUGUGGUGUGAUUGGAUUCAUAAUCUUAAUCAGACUAGCCAGUCGGCUGUGCUCCUUAAUGGUAAACCUGGCCCAUGGAUCAACUGCAGACAGGGGCUUCGCCAAGGCGACUCGCUCUCUCCUUAUCUCUUCAUUAUUGUAGCCGAUGUGUUGCAACGUCUGAUCCUUCAGGCAUUCGCUAAUGGCCUUCUAUCUCACCCGAUCGAUCCAAGCAUUCCUUGCCCAGUUCUACAGUAUGCUGACGACACCCUUAUCAUUCUGCAAGCUGACCAUGACCAACUUCAAACUCUAAAAUCUAUCCUUCUUGAAUUCUCAAACGCCACGGGUCUGGUGAUUAAUUUUCACAAAAGCACGUUUGCUCCCAUUCAUGUUGAUCCGGAUCUCGCAUCUCAACUUGCAGCUAGUUUUGGCUGCGCGGUUGCAUCGUUCCCUCAAUCCUACCUUGGCCUUCCCCUCUCCACUCACAAAUUAAACCUAAAAGAUUUCUUCUUCAUUAUUGACAAGAUUGAUCGUCGUCUCGCGGGUUGGCGAGGUGUUCUCCUCACCCUAGCAGGCCGUGCUGUUUUGGUUAGGACAGUGCUUAGAGCCUUACCAAUCUAUGCCAUGACCGCUCUCCUGCUUCCUAUGGGUAUUGUCCAGGAAAUCGAUAAACGUUGUCGGGCCUUUUUCUGGGCGGGUCAGGAUAAGGUUUCGGGCGGACAGUGUAAAGUGGCUUGGGAAUUUGUAUGUGCGUCGUUCUCUCGAGGGGGUCUAGGUUUUUCUUCUCUGCACCACCUAAACUCUUGCCUACUGCUUUCCCACCUAAAUAAGCUUCACUCAACAUUUGCUUCUGGGGCUCGCUCCCACCUUGCUGUCAAGUAUGGAUGGUCAGAUAACCGGGACCUUGAUACUCCUCACCCUUUUGAAUCUAGCGUUUGGCAUGAUAUGGCCAAGGGGCUUGAAUUUUUCCGUUCAAUUACGAAGGUGCAUGUUGGCAAUGGUAUGACCACCGCCUUUUGGCUGGACCUUUGGGUUCAAAACUCCACCCAAAAUCUCGCAACAAUUUUCCCUGCUCUCUUCUCCCAUUCGCUCUGA